GACGAACGCUGGCGGCGUGCCUAACACAUGCAAGUCAGGGAGAAGGAGGUAGCAAUACUUCCGGAAACCGGCGCACGGGUGAGUAACACGUAGGUAAUUUACCCUUGGGCGGGGAAUAACCACGCGAAAGCGUGGCUAAUACCGCAUAAUGCAACGAGACCGCAUGGCCUUGUUGUUAAAGAUCCGCAAGGAUCACCUGAGGAUGGACCUGCGCCCGAUUAGCUAGUUGGCGGAGAAUAGCCCACCAAGGCGACAAUCGGUAGCCGACCUGAGAGGGUGAUCGGCCACACUGGAACUGAGAUACGGUCCAGACUCCUACGGGAGGCAGCAGU
rnacentral:rRNA from 1 species